rnacentral:lncRNA from 1 species
GGCUGAACUCCCCUAACUAGUUGAGCUGCUGGAGUUUGGAACUAGGGAGCUAUCUGCUCCUGAAUGCGAGUAGCAGGAGUGUGGGCUCCUCCUCCAACUUGAGAGACGGCUGGUGCUAUAGGAAGCAAGCCUGCUUGGGUGACGCUCUCCAUAAGUCCCACUAGAUGGACCAGAGCAUCCUGUAGUAUUGGGGUAGCAAUGAACCCCUCUGGGACCUGAUCUGGGCCCACCGAAACUGCCUGGGCCAGAACCUCAUCAUCAAACUCAACCUAAGGCUCCACCGCUGGUGCUACUGCUUUGGGCUGAGCUUUGCCCCUACCUCGACCUCUAGCAUGGCCUCGGCCUUGCCCUCUACCCAUCGUAGGAGCUGCUGCUGGGGGCUCGGGCUACUGAUCAGUGGAUAAGGAUGUGCGUGUUCUCGCCAUCUGUGAAAGAACAAAGUAGAAAUUCAAUUAGCAUUGAGAAACCAAGCCGAACGAUAGGAAAGAAUAGAUGUGAAACCUAUGUAACCUAGAUCUCUGAUACCAACUUGUCACGACCUAGAUUUCCCACCCUCAGGAGCCGUGAUGGCGCCUACUAGUGAAAGCUAGACAAGCCAAUCAUUUGAAUUAUUUACUUUUUUUUCCAUUUUAGUCCUUUUACAAGUAAUAGCCAAUAAUUGAUAAACAACGGAAAUCUAAUAAGCGGAAGACUGAAAUGAAAUAAUUUAAGAAAGAUGUCAAUAUCAAUCCAUACAAAAAACUACCCAAGACUGGUGUCACAAUUCCACAGACUGUCUAGGAAUACUACAAAUUAAAGUCUGAAAGAUUUAUUACAACAUUGUCUCUGAAAUAUAUAAAAGAAAUAGACUAAAAGGGUAGGAGAAGAUGCCAAGUCCUGCGGACGCCUGCAGGACUACCUCGAAAUCUCCGGCUGGAUUGAAGGUAGCCACCCAAAGCUACGGUUCGAAAGCUGCUGCUCUGGGAUCUGCACACAAUGCAGACUGUAGUAUCAGCAUAACCGACCCCAUGUGCUGGUAAGUGCCUAGCCUAACCCCGGUGAAGUAGUGACGAGGCUAGGACCAGACUACCAAAUAAACCUGUGCAAUUAUAUCAUAUACAGAGGAAAAUAAAAGCAAAAACGUAUAGUUAAGGAUGGAGGGAGGAUCAUGCUGCGGGGGAAUAUCAUUUACCAAGAACAAUUUAAAUAUUCGCAGCAGAAAGAAUAAGGAAACCGUAACAAAUCAAUAACCACUUUUAUCUUUUAUUAUUGCGGCGCGCAACUCGAUCCUAAUCAUAAAAAAACACUGUUGUGGCGUGCAACUCGAUCCAUACCAUAUAUCACUAUUGCGGCGUGCAACCCUAUCCAAAUAUAAUAUUGUUACGGCAUGCAACUCGAUCUAACUAUAAUAUUAUUGCGGCGUGUAACCCGAUCCAAAUAUAAUAUUGUUGCGACAUGCAACCUGAUCCAAAUAUAGUAUUGUUGCGGCAUGUAACCCGAUCCCAAUAUACAAUUCAACACCAAUCACAAAAGAGUCCAAAUAAGGGAACAAUAAGGGAAAUACAAUAUCCCGGCAAGGGAAUCGACAGUAAAAAGUAAAUGCGACGCGGCAAGGGAAUCAGCUAUAACCAAACUUGUUCCAAUAUUUAACUUCACAAAAAAAAACCUCAACUAGCACCAAUACUCAACCAUAAGCAAUUUCCACGAGAAUAAUCAUAAUUAUUUCCCAACACAAAGAAUCAACAACUUAGGCAUUUGUAGUACUUAUUAAGAACACAACGACUUCAAUUUAAGACUCAUGGACAUGCUUGACAACGACGUAUAGAUACUCAUCACCAUGCCUAUAUGUCGUACUCAACAAAUAACACAUAGCAUAUAGGACUCGACUCCUAAUCCCUCAAGCUAAGGUUAGACCAAACACUUACCUCGAUGCCACGAGCACAAUUUAAGCCUCAACUACCGCUUUACCUCUUUAUUCCACCACCAAUUUGCUUGUAUCUAGCCACAAGUUACUAAACUAUAUCAAUAAAAGCUAAAUAAAUCAAUUCCAAUGCAUGAAAAUAGGUUUUCUAAAGUUUUUCCCAAAAAGUCAAAAAUCGCCCCCAGGCCCACAUGGUCAAAACACGACGUUCGAACCAAAAUUAGAUUACCCAUUCCCCCACGAACCCAAAUAUAUAAUUUGUUUUGAAAUCGAACCUCAAAUCGAGGUCUAAAUCUCCAAAUUUGAAAAACCUAGGUUCUACCCAAAAUACCCAAUUUCGCCCAUGAAAAUCCUUGAUUUUGAGUUGAAAUCAUAAAAAAGGAUGUUAAAAAUUGAUGAAACCAAGUUAGAAAUGACUUACAAUCGAUUUGGAAGAAUACUUGUCUUUGAAAAAUCGGCCAAGAGUGUUUUGGUUUUGAAAGGGUUUGAAAAUGAGAAAAAUCCGUCUAAGUUAUGAUUUUGCAGGUUACAGGUGUCGCAAUUGCGACUAGGGUUCGCAAUUACGAACCCCUCAGACUGCUAACUUCGCAUUUGCGAACAAGGGUUUGCAUUUGCGAACUCUGAGGAAUCCAGGCCUCUUCGCAUUUGCGACAAAUACUUCGCAUUUGCGAUCAAGGCACCCCAGGACACUAUUCGCAUUUGCGACAUAUUUCUCGCAUUUGCGAGCCAGGCUUCGCAAUUGUGAAGCUUGCAGGCCUGCAACACACCAGAAAUUCCUAAGUCCAAAUUUCACUCCGUGGCCUAUCCAAAACUCACCCGAGCCCUCGGGGCUCCAAAUCAAACAUGCACACUAGCUCAAAAAUAUCAUACAGACAUGCUCGUGCGAUCACAUCCUCAAAAUAACAUUAAUAGCUAUGAAUUUACCACCAAAAUCAAAGGAAAUCUCAUGAACUUUCAAAGUUUCAAAUUUUACAACUAAGGUUCCGAAUCACGCCAUUUCAAGUCCGUUUCUUACCAAAUUUUACAGACUCGACUUAAAUCAUAUAUAAGACCUAUACCGGGCUCUGAAACCAAAAUACGGGCCCGAUACCAUUAACUUCCAAACAUUUUCCAAAAACUCAUAUAUAUUCCAGAAAACAAUUUUUCUUUAAAAAUUUAUUUUUCGGGCUUGAGACCUCAAAAUUCGAUUCCAGGCAUACGCCCAGGUCCCAUAUUUUCCUACGGACCCUUCGGGAUCGUCAAAUCACGGGUCCGAGUCCGUUUACCCAAAAUGUUGACCGAAAUCAAUUUAAAUUUAUUUUAAAGGCAAAUUUUAUCAUUUUUCACAGAUUUUCACAUAAUGGCUUCCCGGUUACGCGCCCGAACUGUGCACGCAAAUUGAGGUGAUAUAGAAAGAAGUUUUUAAAGCUUCGGAAUACAGAAUUUAUUUCUAAAACAAGCGAUAACCUUUUGGGUCAUCCCAUCACUUGGGAUAUUUGUUAUGGUGUCCCAAGUCACCGGUUUAUUUUAAAUUCCAAAUCGGGGAAAUUUGACUUUGUUUAAAUUUUGCGAAAACUAGAAGACCGGGUAAGGAAUUAUGUUAACCCGGGAGAAGGUGUUAGGCACUUCCGGGUUCGGUGAUUUUAGCACGGUCUCUUUAAUCACCUGACUUAAUUAAAUUGUUUAAUUACUCAUUUUAGAAGCUAUAUACAUUUUACCUUUUACGGCUUUUUUUAUUAUGGCGUUAUGGAUUUGAUAUUUUACAAGGAUUAUAUGUGUGUAAAUCCGCUUUAUUUGGGGAGCUAAAAUCAUGGCACACAAACGUGUGUACAAUUAAUUGCGCUUUAUUAAUUAUUAAUAUUGUUUGGCCAAAGUCGCGCGAACGCGUACCUUGAUUUAUUUUAGAAAUCAUAAUUAUGUCAUGCGAACGUGUACACAAUCACAAUAAUAGAUUAAUUAAGAGCGCGCUAAAAACAUUCCAAUUGUAUUCAUUAUUCUUCCUAAACUUUGAGAUUAUUGUGAGGCCAUAAGAGUAUGGAAGAUUGUUGUGGAUGAAGUAUACUAAUUGAUCAAUAUAAAUUAAUAUCGAGAGGAACUAUUACAGUAUUUGUGGUUUCGAAGUUAUGAGGCAUUUACCUAUUAUGAAAAAAUGGGCCAACUUUUAUAAAAAUAGUAGAAUUAUUGGGCCGACAAACUAAACUCAUCGGGCCUAAAUCUCAUUUCCACUUUAGAAUUACGCCACAGCCCAACAAACAAUAUUAAAGCAACUCAACACCCACAGCCUAAUCUUGUUUGUAUGCUACCAUUGAAGCUAAACAAAUGAAAUUAAAAUUGGGCUCAAGAGAGGAGUCUGUAAUUUUCUAUGCAUAAACACACAAUGUGGCCAUCACAACCAGUUGAGGUAUCACACAAACAAAAUGGCAUAGAGCAUAGUAGAUGCUGCCAACAUUUCAGAUUAAUCUUAAACUAAAAAAAUAUCGACUGCUAAUAAAAUCAACAGAUAGUGAAUCUUAAAGCUCACAUUAACAUCUUUGAGUUAUGACUUCAUAGCAAAAAUUAGAUUCGACACUAAUGAGACAGCUUUAACACAAAAUUUGAACAGAGCAAACACCACACAAGGCAUCUAAAUCAAUACAUGGGUGAAUCAGUGCUCAUUUUCAUUGAAGAAUAUUCAAAUACAACAAGAGUUUUAUGUGUUUACCUUUAUGCCAGAAGAAUGCAAAUAGGGAAUGUCAGGCAAAGGCUAAGCACGAAGGCUUGAGCUCAGCUAAGAAUUCAACAGAAUAACAAUUGCAAAUAGCACUUCUCACAGCUCUAGGAUCACUCGAACUCCCAGGAAAAUGAAGUAGAAUGGUAGAAGUUGAGCUAAUUGUGAAAUCCUCUUUUGUUCAUGCAUUUGUUUCCCAUUUCUUAAGCUUUUUGUUUCUAAAUCUGAGGUUCAAUCUCCUUGAAUUCAAAGGAUUGUUUUCGGCUUUUGUAAAAGUGAGCCAUAUAUGAAUGAGGAAUGGAGAGUGAAUUUGUGCAUGUGAGUGUCUAUGAAUUCAGAGAGAGAUGAGACGAGAACAACGCGUGUGAGGAAUUUGAGAGCAUUUCUUAAUUGGGCAGCUAGGUUUUUUUUGCUAAGAGGAAGGAGUGUUCUAUUAGGAGAAGAUGAGGGAAUAAGGGGGAAGCGGCUAGGUUUUAGGUUAAGGGGAGGAGAUCUGAUCUGUGUGAGACUGAGCUGAGGAAGGAGAAGGGGUGGCAGCUGCUCUUGAGAAGAUGAAGGGAUUAGGGCUUUUUUUUUUUUUUUCAAAAAGAGGGGUUGUCUCAGCCGUUUUCACACACAGAGAGAAAGUUAGAAGAUGGCUAGGGUUAGGUAUUUGGGGAAGGGACCGAUUCUGAUAGGGUAGGAAAAUAAUUUGGUUUUAAUGAGGGGAAAUGGGAUUAGGCCAGGCGGGUCAUGGGGAAUGAGCUUGGGCAGAUUCUUGUAGAGUUUUGG